UGGGGAAUAUUGCACAAUGGGGGAAACCCUGAUGCAGCGACGCCGCGUGAAGGAAGAAGUACCUCGGUAUGUAAACUUCUAUCAGCAGGGAAGAAAAUGACGGUACCUGACUAAGAAGCCCCGGCUAACUACGUGCCAGCAGCCGCGGUAAUACGUAGGGGGCAAGCGUUAUCCGGAUUUACUGGGUGUAAAGGGAGCGUAGACGGAAGAGCAAGUCUGAUGUGAAAGGCUGGGGCUUAACCCCAGGACUGCAUUGGAAACUGUUGUUCUAGAGUGCCGGAGAGGUAAGCGGAAUUCCUAGUGUAGCGGUGAAAUGCGUAGAUAUUAGGAGGAACACCAGUGGCGAAGGCGGCUUACUGGACGGUAACGGACGUUGAGGCUCGAAAGCGUGGGGAGCAAACAGG
rnacentral:rRNA from 1 species